rnacentral:rRNA from 1 species
AAGCAGAGACUCCACCUCGUACCUUUUGCAUCAUGAUUUAGCCAGUGAUACUCAAGCAAAGAGUCCUUUAGUUUGUUAACCCGAAACUAAGUGAGCUACUCCAAGGCAGCCUAUAUAUUUAGGGCAAACCCGUCUCUGUGGCAAAAGAGUGGGAAGAACUUUGAGUAGAGGUGACAGACCUACCGAACUUAGUUAUAGCUGGUUGCCCAAGAAAUGAAUAGGAGUUCAGCCUCCCGGCUUCUUUAGUCACCUUAGUCCUUACACCCUGCAGACUCAGAGAACACCGUGAGAGUUAGUCAUAGGGGGUACAGCCCCUUUGAACCAGGAUACAACUUUCCCAGGAGGGUAAAGAUCAUAAUUAAUAAGGUAAAGUGUCCGGGUGGGCCUAAAAGCAGCCACCCCUCCAUGAAAGCGUUAUAGCUCAGACACAACCUCCAUAACCCAUAGAUCCCGAUAACUAAAUCUUAUCCCCCUACCCCUAUUGGGCCGUCCCAUGCAAGCAUGGGAGCGACUAUGCUAACAUGAGUAAUAAGAGAGCUAAAAGCCUCUCUCUCUGCACAAGUGUAACUCGGAACAGACAACCUACCGACCCACAACGGCCCCAAUUGAAGAGGGAAUUGAAGUCUAACCAAAAUAAAUAACCAGAAAACCCCCCAACACCCCCACCGUUAACCCCACACAGGAGUGCUACCAGAGAAAGACCCAAAGAAAAAGAAGGAACUCGGCAAACACACUUAAGCCUCGCCUGUUUACCAAAAACAUCGCCUCUUGCAAUUCUAGAAAGUAUAAGAGGUCCCGCCUGCCCUGUGACUAUACGUUCAACGGCCGCGGUAUUUUGACCGUGCGAAGGUAGCGCAAUCACUUGUCUCUUAAAUGGAGACCUGUAUGAAUGGCAUAACGAGGGCUUGACUGUCUCCUUUUUCAGGUCAAUGAAAUUGAUCUUCCCGUGCAGAAGCGGGAAUAAAACCAUAAGACGAGAAGACCCUAUGGAGCUUUAGACACGAAGACAGCCCAUCUUAAAACCCCGGGUAAUCGGGCACAAGCUUAAUGGACCCUGCCCUAAUGUCUUUGGUUGGGGCGACCGCGGAGUAGAAAAAAACCUCCGCAUGGACUGGGCAUACACUUUCCCACAGCUAAGAGCGACACCUCUAGCCAACAGUAUUUCUGACCUAAAUGAUCCGGCAACGCCGAUUAACGGACCGAGUUACCCUAGGGAUAACAGCGCAAUCCCCUUUUAGAGCCCAUAUCGACAAGGGGGUUUACGACCUCGAUGUUGGAUCAGGACAUCCUAAUGGUGCAGCCGCUAUUAAGGGUUC